GGGCCCGCACAAGCGGUGGAGCAUGUGGUUUAAUUCGAUGAUACGCGAGGAACCUUACCAGGGCUUAAAUGUAAGUUGCAUGGAUCAGAGAUGGUCCUUUCUUCGGACUACUUACAAGGUGCUGCAUGGUUGUCGUCAGCUCGUGCCGUGAGGUGUCAGGUUAAGUCCUAUAACGAGCGCAACCCCUAUCGUUAGUUGCCAACAGGUAAAGCUGGGAACUCUAACGAGACUGCCGGUGCAAACCGUGAGGAAGGUGGGGAUGACGUCAAAUCAUCACGGCCCUUACGUCCUGGCUACACACGUGCUACAAUGGCCGGUACAGAGAGCAGCCACUACGCGAGUAGGAGCGAA
rnacentral:rRNA from 1 species